ACAUCGGCGGUUUCGUUUUGAUCUAAAUGCAAUUUGACGCUCCGCGGUUGCGGGGGGGGGGGGGGCAACGCAGUGAUAUCAACAUGAGCAGUUCUAACUGGAGGGCAUGUGUUCAUUCUAUUGAAGUCUAACGCAAUACUUUAUUGUAUAGCCUACUAUUGGUUGUGCGUGCGUGCGUGUGUGUGUCUGUUGGGUUAUCUGGAUUAUAUAGGAUGUAGCAAGCAAGUGAUGACCAGUGAUAACCAGAUAAAACAGGGAAAUCCUAGAACUUGGAGAGAAGGUGAUGCAGGCGCAUUAAACGAAGAGGGGAAGAGAUGGUGCGAUCUAUGAGAAAGACACAGAGGAACUUUCCUUACGAGGCUUUUGUCGGGAUAAAAAAAGAAGUGGUCGGCAAAAUAAAGAAUAUGUUUGCGUUUUUGCACCCGCGUUUGUAGCCUACACUCAGAUUAAUUCUUGCAUGCAAAUCUCUUGAAUCAUAAAAAAACAAACAUUUGUUGUAUGCAAAUUAUUUACUGUCCGUGCGCAGCCCCGCCUUCUCCAGUGAACCAAGACAGCCGGAUGCGUGUCGACGGGGGAUUUAACCCCUCGGUUUAACACAGGCAAGGCAGUGAAAUUGCCGGGCGUGCCAAGCCGGGACCAAACCGGCCUGGCAGUGUAAGGCCUUACGCCUCAACGUGCCUGUGUUCAGGCGCAUCAGUGUGUCUGUCUGUCUGUCUGUGUUUGUGUGUUUGUGUGCACGUUCAGAGGAGCGUCAGUGUGUGUGUGUCUGUCUGUCUGUGUGUGUGUGUGUGUGCGUGUGUUUGUGUGCACGUUCCGAGGAGCGUCAGUGUGUGUGUGUCUGUCUGUCUGUCUGUGUGUUUGUGUGCACGUUCCGAGGUGUGUCAAUGUGUGUGUGUGUGCAGCGGCAUGCGGUCUACUCACAAUCCUGCCCUUUGAACGUGUUUCCUCUCCCACCCCUCAACCCUUACCUCAAACCCGGCUCCAGCCCCCGCCGGAGGGGACGAGACACGGCUUGAUUUGUGGAGUAAGAUACUGGAGUGGCCCCGGGCCCUCCACAUGCAUUACUUCCAAGGUAAGCCGGUAGGACAACUUGGCCUGCUUCAAGUGGCUCAUUCUCAUGAUGCUACAGUACAUCAGCCUGAGAUAUAACCCUGAUGCUACGCUCCAUCAGCCUGGGCUACAUCUCUCUGAUGCUACGCUCCAUCAGCCUGGGCUACGUCUCCCUGAUGCUACGCUCCAUCAGCCUGGGCUACGUAUCUCUGAUGCUACAUCAGCCUGAGGUAUAACCCUGAUGCUACGCUCCAUCAGCCUGAGUUACGUCUCCCUGAUGCUACGAUACAUCAGCCUGGGCUACGUCUCUGAUGCUACAUCAGCCUGAGUUAUAACCCUGAUGCUACGCUACAUCAGCCUGGGCUACGUCUCCCUGAUGCUCUAACAGUAUGAGGUAUAACCCUGAUGCUACGCUACAUCGGCCUGGGCUACGUCUCUCGGAUGCUACAUCAGUAUGAGGCAUAACCCUGAUGCUAUGCUAUAGUAGCAAGAGAGAUGACCCUGAUGCUACGUCACAUCAGUAUAAGUAUAUGUCAUCCUGAUGCUACGUCAUCUUGAUGCUACGCUAAAGUAGCAUGAUUUUUGUCUCCCUGAUGCUACGCUAUAUUAGCAUGGGUUGAAUGGCCAUUUUAUACGCACGGCCAUUUCCAUGGUACAUGUCACUCAUGCUUAAAAUGACUUGUAGGCCCGCAACCUGUCGUACUGUACUCCAAUUAAAUGAUAUCGGCCUUCUGUCAUAGUUCUGGUGAUGAUUCAGUGUCUGCCCAGUUUCCUUGUUUACGUUGGAGAUAUUAACAGGAAAUGGUGCGGUGAGUGUCAUUAUCCGGAAUAAACAAAACACGACUAACUUGAAUGGAAUGGCUGCUCGCCGGGUCAACUCACCCACCCCUCCACGCCUGCUUACACAACGCCUGCAGAACGACCUGCUGGUCAUCACGUCCACGUUGCUGGGGUUACGCUCCACCAGAUACUGGGUUUGGUGGGCCAGUGCUAUCCAGAGACACCCCUGCAUCUUAACCAGCGCUGCCCCUUAACCAGUUCUGCCCCUUAACCAGCACCACCCCUUAACCAGCGCCACCCCUUAACCAGCGCCACCCCUUAACCAGCGCUGCCCCUUAACCAGCGCUGCCCCUUAACCAGCACCACCCCUUAACCAGCACCACCCCUUAACCAGCGCCACCCCUUAACCAGCGCCACCCCUUAACCAGCACCACCCCUUAACCAGCGCUGCCCCUUUACCAGCACUGCAUCUUAACCAGCGCUGCCCCUAACCAGCACUGCCCCUUAACCAGCACUGCGUCUUAACCAGUGCAGCCCCUUAACCAGCACCGUGUCUUAACCAGCGCAGCCCCUUAACCAGCGCAGCCCCUUAACCAGCGCAGCCCCUUAACCAGCGCAGCCCCUUAACCAGCACUUCGUCAGGGUUGACAGCAUGAGGAGCUCCACUCUCUGUGUUCUGCGUCUGAUUGUGAACAGAACUGGAGGGAUGGGGAGCAGUGGCAUGCGCUCACCGCGUUCACUCCUCGCUCUCUGCGACGGCUCUCUGCGACGGCUCUCUGCGAUCGCCCGUCUGACGGGGCGGUGAAGGGUUCUGGGCUGAAGCCACAGUGGCAUGGAGGCGGUUCCUGUGGAACCUGUGUGUAACGCCUCGUGCUGUCAUCGCUCCCCUGGCACCACGCACGCGGCGCUGAGAACAGGUCCGCUGAACAGGUCUGAUGGCAGCAGAGCUCCGGGCUCUAGGGCUGCUCGUUAGGCUGCAGACCUGUUCCUACAUGUGCGCUGAAAUUACAUGAGAUAUGAUAUGAGAAUAGCACUGUCCCAACGAGUAGUGACCUCUUUAGAGAUAUGCAAACACAGGAUGUUUAACCUUUCAGAUGUUUUUGAAUAUUAGCCAGACAUUCAGCCAGUCAUUGUGUAGCGAUCGUGACUCACUCUGAAAACAUGCUUAAUGUCACUGAGUUCGUUGUAGCCGGUGUCACCCAUGUUUUGAUGAAUAUCAUCUGAUUUGUCAACCGCCAUUUCUAAAUAAAUAAGUAUAUAAUUUAAUAAAUUCAUUUAGAAUUAGCUGCUGGCAGUGGGGUUAUUUAUGGCUGUUUGUAAUUUUGUGAUGAAUGCGUCUAUAACACCAAACUUCACUCAACGAGAUUCGACUAGUCUGACAUUUAUCUUGUAGAUGUGUCACUCUGAGCCCUGCUCCUGGCAUCCAGCGAGACGAGACCUCGACUCUGCCUCCCCCCCCCCCCCACACCCCUCUUACGCCCUGACUGUAUGUUGUACGUCCUGGCACUUAAUGUACGCACUCAUUGUAUGUUGUACGUCCUGGCACUUAAUGUACGCACUCAUUGUAUGUUGUACGUCCUGGCACUUAAC